UCCGUAGGCGGGCAGCUCAGUCAGUGGUGAAAGUUUGCAGCUCAACUGUAAAAUUGCCAUUGAUACUGGUUGUCUUGAAUUAAUGUGAAGUGGUUAGAAUAUGUAGUGUAGCGGUGAAAUGCAUAGAUAUUACAUGGAAUACCAAUUGCGAAGGCAGAUCACUAAUAAUAUAUUGACGCUGAUGGACGAAAGCGUGGGGAGCGAACAGGAUUAGAUACCCUGGUAGUC
rnacentral:rRNA from 1 species